rnacentral:rRNA from 1 species
UACGUAGGGGGCAAGCGUUGUCCGGAAUCAUUGGGCGUAAAGCGCGCGUAGGCGGCCCGGUAAGUCCGCUGUAAAAGUCCAGGGCUCAACCCUGGGAAGCCGGUGGAUACUGUCGGGCUAGAGUCCGGAAGAGGCGAGUGGAAUUCCUGGUGUAGCGGUGGAAUGCGCAGAUAUCAGGAGGAACACCGGUGGCGAAGGCGGGAUCCUGGGCCAGUACUGACGCUGAGGAGCGAAAGCGUGGGGAGCAAACGGG